rnacentral:rRNA from 1 species
GACGAACGCUGGCGGCGUGCCUAAUACAUGCAAGUUGAGCGCUGAAGGUUGGUACUUGUACCAACUGGAUGAGCAGCGCACGGGUGAGUAACGCGUGGGGAAUCUGCCUUUGAGCGGGGGACAACAUUUGGAAACGAAUGCUAAUACCGCAUAAAAACUUUAAACACAAGUUUUAAGUUUGAAAGAUGCAAUUGCAUCACUCAAAGAUGAUCCCGCGUUGUAUUAGCUAGUUGGUGAGGUAAAGGCUCACCAAGGCGGUGAUACAUAGCCGACCUGAGAGGGUGAUCGGCCACAUUGGGACUGAGACACGGCCCAAACUGCUACGGGAGGGAGCAGUAGGGAAUCGUCGGCAAUGGACGAAAGUCUUACCGAGCAACGCCGCGGGAGUGAAGAAGGUUGUCGGAUCGUAAAACUCUGUUGGUAGAGAAGAACGUUGGUGAGAGUGGAAAGCUCAUCAAGUGACGGUAACUACCCAGAAAGGGACGGCUAACUACGUG